GAUGAACGCUAGCGGCAGGCUUAAUACAUGCAAGUCGAGGGGCAGCACGGUUAGCAAUAACUGGUGGCGACCGGCGCACGGGUGCGUAACACGUAUACAAUCUACCUUAAACAGGGGGAUAGCCUUUCGAAAGAGAGAUUAAUACCCCGUAAUAAAUUGAACGGCAUCGUUUGAUUUUGAAAGCUCCGGCGGUUUGAGAUGAGUAUGCGUCUGAUUAGCUAGUUGGUGAGGUAACGGCUCACCAAGGCGACGAUCAGUAGGGGAUCUGAGAGGACUAACCCCCACACUGGUACUGAGACACGGACCAGACUCCUACGGGAGGCAGCAGUAAGGAAUAUUGGUCAAUGGAGGCAACUCUGAACCAGCCAUGCCGCGUGCAGGAUGACGGCCCUAUGGGUUGUAAACUGCUUUUAUACAAGAGAAAACCCUGGUACGUGUACCAGGUUGAUAGUAUUGUAAGAAUAAGCAAUCGGCUAACUUCGUGCCAGCAGCCGCGGU
rnacentral:rRNA from 1 species